rnacentral:rRNA from 1 species
AACGAACGCUGGCGGCAUGCCUAACACAUGCAAGUCGAACGAGACCUUCGGGUCUAGUGGCGCACGGGUGCGUAACGCGAGGGAACCUGCCCUUAGGUUCGGCAUAACUCCCCGAAAGGGGUGCUAAUACCGGAUAAUGUCUUCGGACCAAAGAUUUAUCGCCUUUGGAUGGGCCCGCGUUGGAUUAGCUAGUUGUUAGGGUAAAAGCCUACCAAGGCGACGAUCCAUAGCUGGUCUGAGAGGAUGAUCAGCCACACCGGGACUGAGACACGGCCCAGACUCCUACGGGAGGCAGCAGUGGGGAAUAGUGGACAAUGGGCGAAAGCCUGAUCCAGCAAUGCCGCGUGAGUGAUGAAGGCCUUAGGGUUGUAAAGCUCUUUUACCCGGGAUGAUAAUGACAGUACCGGGAGAAUAAGCCCCGGCUAACUCCGUU